GGGUGCGCGGCCGUUGCAACGAGCUGCAUUGCUGAUUCUUCGCUUGCCUGAGACUGGCAUUUGUCGAGCGGGUUGCAUCCGUUGUUACGUUGGCCGAAGACAGCAGUAAAAGUGAUCUGCAGAUAGCACGAAUGCCAGCAAUCGUGCAAAGUAGGAGUCCAAAGGGGGACAUGGUUGGUGUGGUUGGGUGAAAGCAACGUGUCAUUGUGGUUAAAAAAGAUGAAUCAGUAUACAUGUGAUAUAACUGUCAAAGCCGGAAUGUUGAAAGGUACGUAGACAGCACAAAUUUUUGUUUUUUUUUUUCCCGCCAUAUUCAAUGUGUUGCGUUGGAACUGUUUACAGCAUACAUCCCGCCCAAGGCAUGCUGGGAGGAUCUCCUAUCAGGCAGCUUGGAAACUUCGAGACGCCGAUAUGCCUUACGUUUGGUGCAGCCGAGGUUAUGAACUUUCAAGUGGAAUAUGCCCCUUGAGGAAAACAAUUAGGUACGAGCAUAUUCAAGCUCCACGUGAAAUGCCAAGUAUGGUCAAUGAAAAAUGUAAAUUGUAAUAUUUCUGUUUCUAAUCACCUGCUGUCG